rnacentral:rRNA from 1 species
ACGAACGCUGGCGGCGUGCUCAACACAUGCAAGUCGAACGGAAAGGCCCUGCUUUUGUGGGGUGCUCGAGUGGCGAACGGGUGAGUAACACGUGAGUAACCUGCCCUUGACUUUGGGAUAACUUCAGGAAACUGGGGCUAAUACCGGAUAGGAGCUCCUGCUGCAUGGUGGGGGUUGGAAAGUUUCGGCGGUUGGGGAUGGACUCGCGGCUUAUCAGCUUGUUGGUGGGGUAGUGGCUUACCAAGGCUUUGACGGGUAGCCGGCCUGAGAGGGUGACCGGCCACAUUGGGACUGAGAUACGGCCCAGACUCCUACGGGAGGCAGCAGUGGGGAAUAUUGCACAAUGGGCGGAAGCCUGAUGCAGCAACGCCGCGUGCGGGAUGACGGCCUUCGGGUUGUAAACCGCUUUCGCCUGUGACGAAGCGUGAGUGACGGUAAUGGGUAAAGAAGCACCGGCUAACUACGUGCCAGCAGCCGCGGUGAUACGUAGGGUGCGAGCGUUGUCCGGAUUUAUUGAGCGUAAAGGGCUCGUAGGUGGUUGAUCGCGUCGGAAGUGUAAUCUUGGGGCUUAACCCUGAGCGUGCUUUCGAUACGGGUUGACUUGAGGAAGGUAGGGGAGAAUGGAAUUCCUGGUGGAGCGGUGGAAUGCGCAGAUAUCAGGAGGAACACCAGUGGCGAAGGCGGUUCUCUGGGCCUUUCCUGACGCUGAGGAGCGAAAGCGUGGGGAGCGAACAGGCUUAGAUACCCUGGUAGUCCACGCUGUAAACGGUGGGUACUAGGUGUGGGGUCCAUUCCACGGGUUCCGUGCCGUAGCUAACGCUUUAAGUACCCCGCCUGGGGAGUACGGCCGCAAGGCUAAAACUCAAAGGAAUUGACGGGGCCCCGCACAAGCGGCGGAGCAUGCGGAUUAAUUCGAUGCAACGCGUAGAACCUUACCUGGGUUUGACAUGGAUCGGGAGUGCUCAGAGAUGGGUGUGCCUCUUUUGGGGUCGGUUCACAGGUGGUGCAUGGCUGUCGCCAGCUCGUGUCGUGAGAUGUUGGGUUAAGUCCCGCAACGAGCGCAACCCUUGUUCACUGUUGCCAGCACGUUAUGGUGGGGACUCAGUGGAGACCGCCGGGGUCAACUCGGAGGAAGGUGGGGAUGACGUCAAGUCAUCAUGCCCCUUAUGUCCAGGGCUUCACGCAUGCUACAAUGGCUGGUACAGAGAGUGGCGAGCCUGUGAGGGUGAGCGAAUCUCGGAAAGCCGGUCUCAGUUCGGAUUGGGGUCUGCAACUCGACCUCAUGAAGUCGGAGUCGCUAGUAAUCGCAGAUCAGCAACGCUGCGGUGAAUACGUUCCCGGGGCUUGUACACACCGCCCGUCAAGUCAUGAAAGUUGGUAACACCCGAAGCCGGUGGCCUAACCGUUGUGGGGGAGCCGUCGAAGGUGG